rnacentral:rRNA from 1 species
AGCGAACGCUGGCGGCAGGCUUAACACAUGCAAGUCGAACGGGCGUAGCAAUACGUCAGUGGCAGACGGGUGAGUAACGCGUGGGAACGUACCUUUUGGUUCGGAACAACCCAGGGAAACUUGGGCUAAUACCGGAUAAGCCCUUACGGGGGAAAGAUUUAUCGCCGAAAGAUCGGCCCGCGUCUGAUUAGCUAGUUGGUGUGGUAACGGCGCACCAAGGCGACGAUCAGUAGCUGGUCUGAGAGGAUGAUCAGCCACAUUGGGACUGAGACACGGCCCAAACUCCUACGGGAGGCAGCAGUGGGGAAUAUUGGACAAUGGGCGCAAGCCUGAUCCAGCCAUGCCGCGUGAGUGAUGAAGGCCCUAGGGUUGUAAAGCUC